rnacentral:ncRNA from 1 species
UAAACAAAUCAAGGAUUCUGUCCCUAUCUACUAUCUAGCGAAACCACAGCCAAGGGAACGGGCUUGGAAUAAUUAGCGGGGAAAGAAGACCCUUUUGAGCUUGACUCUAAUCUGGCAGUGUAAGGAGACAUAAGAGGUGUAGAAUAAGUGGGAGAUAUUAGGCUUCGGUUUGAUAUCGCCAAUGAAAUACCACUACUCUUAUUGUUUCCUUACUUACUUGAUUAAGUGGAACGUGUAUCAUUUCCUAGCCAUUAUACGGAUAUAUUAAUUAUGUCUUAUGGUAUUGGGUUUUGAUGCAAGCUUCUUGAUCAAAGUAUCACGAGUUUGUUAUAUAAUCGCAAACAAAUUCUUUAAUGAGAAAAUGCAGCAAUGUGUUUUUGAUUUAAUAAUUUGGUAUAACUCCAAUUACUCAGGUAUGAUCCAAUUCAAGGACAUUGCCAGGUAGGGAGUUUGACUGGGGCGGUACAUCUCUCAAAUAAUAACGGAGGUGUCCCAAGGCCAGCUCAGUGCGGACAGAAACCACACAUAGAGCAAAAGGGCAAAUGCUGACUUGAUCUCGGUGUUCAGUACACACAGGGACAGCAAAAGCUCGGCCUAUCGAUCCUUUUGGUUUAAAGAGUUUUUAACAAGAGGUGUCAGAAAAGUUACCAUAGGGAUAACUGGCUUGUGGCGGCCAAGCGUAUAUAGCGACGUCGCUUUUUGAUCUUUUGAUGUCGGAUCUUCCUAUCAUUGCGAAACAAAAUUUCCCAAGCGUUGGAUAGUUCGUCCAGGCAAGGGAGCGUGAGCUGGGUUUAGACCGUCUUGAGACAGGUGAGUUUUACCCUAUUAAUGACAAAACGUUGUUGCGACAGCAUUCCUUGCGUAGUACGAGAGGAACCGCAGGUACGGACCAAUGGCACAAUACUUGUUCGAGCGAACAGUGGUAUGACGCUACGUCCGUUGGAUUAUGCCUGAACGCCUCUAAGGUCGUAUCCGUGCUGGACUGCAAUGAUAAAUAAGGGGCAAUUUGCAUUGUAUGGCUUCUAAACCAUUAAAAGUUUAUAAUUCAUUUUAUAGACGACAAUGGAUGUGAUGCCAAUGUUAUAUAUAACAUAGUAAAUUGGGAGGAUCUUCGAUCACCUGAUGCCGCGCUAGUUAUAUUUUAAAACAUUAUUUAAUACAAUGACAAAGCCUGGAAUCAAUUGUAAACGACUUUUGUAACAGGCAAGGUGUUGUAAGUGGUUGAGCAGCUGCCAUACUGCGAUCCACUGAAGCUUAUCCUUUGCUUGAUAUGAUUC